CUUGUCUCCUGUACUUCACUGCUCUGGAUGUGAGGACCAUGUCUCAGUAGCACUUAAUCAGGAAACUGAGAGAACUGGCUGAAGACAGACGUCUCAUGCCAACCAACGAAAGGCAAAAAAGGUCUGCUGAGCAACCAAACAGUCAAAUGGAGACAGAUGAGCCACAGUCUUUCUUUGCGGCAUUUUACCAACUUCCAUUCAAAUGUGUGUUUGUAUGUUUGAAAUUAAUUCAACCAGACACAAACUUUUAUAGCAUCUCACAUAAACUCUUAUUUGUUUUUCAUUCAGUUUUCAGAUAUAUAUGUAUAUACAUCAUAGAG